rnacentral:tRNA from 1 species
GCGCCUGUAGCUCAGUGGAACAGAGCACCAGACUUCGGAUCUGGGUGUCGGGGGUUCGAAUCCCUCCAGGCGCGCCA